rnacentral:rRNA from 1 species
AAUAUUGCGCAAUGGAGGAAACUCUGACGCAGCGACGCCGCGUGAGCGAUGAAGGUCUUCGGAUCGUAAAGCUCUGUCCUUGGGGAAGAAGAUCGAAAGAUUUGACGGUACCCGAGGAGGAAGCCCCGGCUAACUACGUGCCAGCAGCCGCGGUAAUACGUAGGGGGCGAGCGUUGUCCGGAAUUAUUGGGCGUAAAGCGCGCGCAGGCGGUUCACUAAGUCUGAUGUGAAAGCCCCCGGCUUAACCGGGGAGGGUCAUUGGAAACUGGUGGACUUGAGUGCAGGAGAGGAGAGUGGAAUUCCACGUGUAGCGGUGAAAUGCGUAGAGAUGUGGAGGAACACCAGUGGCGAAGGCGGCUCUCUGGCCUGUAACUGACACUGAGGUGCGAAAGCGUGGGGAGCAAAC